rnacentral:rRNA from 1 species
CCGGUUGAUCCUGCCAGAGGCUACUGCUAUCGGGGUCCGACUAAGCCAUGCGAGUUGAGAGGGGUAAGCCCUCGGCAUAUUGCUCAGUAACACGCGGAUAACCUGCCCUUGGGUGUGGGAUAACCCCGGGAAACUGGGACUAAUACCGGAUAGAUCAAAGAUACUGGAAUGUUCUUUGGUUGAAAGCUCCGGCGCCCAAGGAUGGGUCUGCGGCCUAUCAGGUAGUAGUGGGUGUAACGUACCUACUAGCCUACGACGGGUAAGGGUUGUGAGAGCAAGAGCCCUGAGAUGGAUUCUGAGACAUGAAUCCAGGCCCUACGGGGUGCAGCAGGCGCGAAAACUUUACACUGCGGGAAACCGCGAUAAGGGGACCCCGAGUGCCAGCACCUAGUGCUGGCUGUCCAGCUGUUCAAAAAACAGUUGUUAGCAAGGGCCGGGCAAGACCGGUGCCAGCCGCCGCGGUAACACCGGCGGCCCGAGUGGUAGCCGUUAUUAUUGGGUUUAAAGGGUCCGUAGCCGGCCUAUUAAGUCUCUUGGGAAAUCUGGCGACUCGAUCGUCAGGCGUUCAAGAGAUACUGGUAGGCUUGGGACCGGGAGAGGUGGGAGGUACUCCAGGGGUAGGGGUGAAAUCUCGUAAUCCUUGGGGGACCACCGAUGGCGAAGGCAUCCCACCAGAACGGGUCCGACGGUGAGGGACGAAAGCUGGGGGCACGAACCGGAUUAGAUACCCGGGUAGUCCCAGCUGUAAACGAUGCUCGCUAGGUGUCAGGUGCGGUGCGACCGCAUCUGGUGCCGCAGUGAAAACUUGAAGCGAGUCACCUGGGAAGUACGGUCGCAAGGCUGAAACUUAAAGGAAUUGGCGGGGGAGCAC